GACGAACGCUGGCGGCGUGCUUAACACAUGUAAGUCGAACGGAAAGGCCCUGCUUUUGUGGGGUGCUCGAGUGGCGAACGGGUGAGUAACACGUGAGUAACCUGCCCUUGACUUUGGGAUAACUUCAGGAAACUGGGGCUAAUACCGGAUAGGAGCUCCUGCUGCAUGGUGGGGGGUGGAAAGUUUCGGCGGUUGGGGAUGGACUCGCGGCUUAUCAGCUUGUUGGUGGGGUAGUGGCUUACCAAGGCUUUGACGGGUAGCCGGCCUGAGAGGGUGACCGGCCACAUUGGGACUGAGAUACGGCCCAGACUCCUACGGGAGGCAGCAGUGGGGAAUAUUGCACAAUGGGCGGAAGCCUGAUGCAGCAACGCCGCGUGCGGGAUGACGGCCUUCGGGUUGUAACCCGCUUUCGCCUGUGACGAAGCGUGAGUGACGGUAAUGGGUAAAGAAGCACCGGCUAACUACGUG
rnacentral:rRNA from 1 species